rnacentral:rRNA from 1 species
GACGAACGCUGGCGGCGUGCUUAACACAUGCAAGUCGAGCGGUAAGGCUCCUUCGGGAGUACACGAGCGGCGCACGGGUGAGUAACACGUGAGUAAUCUGCCCUUCACUUCGGGAUAACCACCGGAAACGGUGGCUAAUACCGAAUACGACCAGUCUUCGCAUGAGGUGCUGGUGGAAAGUCUUUUCGGUGAAGGAUGUGCUCGCGGCCUAUCAGCUUGUUGGUGGGGUAAUGGCCUACCAAGGCUUCGACGGGUAGCCGGCCUGAGAGGGUGACCGGCCACACUGGGACUGAGACACGGCCCAGACUCCUACGGGAGGCAGCAGUGGGGAAUAUUGGACAAUGGGCGAAAGCCUGAUCCAGCAACGCCGCGUGAGGGAUGACGGCCGUCGGGUUGUAAACCUCGUUCAGUACCGACGAAGCGCCCUGUCGGGUGGUGACGGUAGGUACAGAAGAAGGACCGGCCAACUACGUG